CUUACCGAUGGCGACCGGCGCACGGGUGAGUAACACGUAUCCAACCUGCCGAUAACUCGGGGAUAGCCUUUCGAAAAGAAAGAUUAAUAUCCGAUAGGAUAUCAAGGUCGCAUGAUCUUGAUAUUAAAGAAUUUCGGUUAUCGAUGGGGAUGCGUUCCAUUAGUUAGUUGGCGGGUAACGGCCCACCAAGACGACGAUGGAUAGGGGUUCUGAGAGGAAGGUCCCCCACAUUGGAACUGAGACACGGUCCAAACUCCUACGGGAGGCAGCAG
rnacentral:rRNA from 1 species